rnacentral:rRNA from 1 species
ACUCCUACGGGAGGCAGCAGUGGGGAAUCUUCCGCAAUGGACGAAAGUCUGACGGAGCAACGCCGCGUGUAUGAUGAAGGUCUUCGGAUUGUAAAGUACUGUUUUUAGGGAAGAACGAUCUUGUCAGGAAUAUGGGCAGGAUAUGACGGUACCUAAGGAGGAAGCCCCGGCUAACUACGUGCCAGCAGCCGCGGUAAUACGUAGGGGGCGAGCGUUGUCCGGAAUUAUUGGGCGUAAAGGGCGCGUAGGCGGGUGCUUAAGUCCGGUGUGAAAGAUCAGGGCUCAACCCUGAGAGUGCAUCGGAAACUGGGUGCCUUGAGGACAGGAGAGGAAAGUGGAAUUCCACGUGUAGCGGUGAAAUGCGUAGAUAUGUGGAGGAACACCAGUGGCGAAGGCGACUUUCUGGACUGUAACUGACGCUGAGGCGCGAAAGCGUGGGGAGCAAACAGGAUUAGAUACCCUGGUAGUCCACGCCGUAAACGAUGAGUGCUAGGUGUAGAGGGUAUCGACCCCCUCUGUGCCGGAGUUAACACAAUAAGCACUCCGCCUGGGGAGUACGGCCGCAAGGUUGAAACUCAWAGGAAUUGACGGA